rnacentral:rRNA from 1 species
GCGAAUGAGGGGCAGGGAGCCGCGGUGAGACGGAGGGGGCGAGGUGUGUCCGGAGUUAUUGGGAGUAAAGCGCGCGCGGGCGGUGUCUUAAGUCUGAUGUGAAAGGCCACGGCUCAACCGGGGAGGGUCAUUGGAAACUGGGAAACUUGAGUGCAGAGGAGGAGAGUGGAAUUCCACGUGUAGCGGUGAAAUGUGUAGAGAUGUGGAGGAACACCAGUGGCGAAGGCGACUCUCUGGUCUGUAACUGACGCUGAGGCGCGAAAGCGUGGGUAGCGAACAGGAUUAGAUACCCCAGUAGUC